AGAGUUUGAUCAUGGCUCAGAUUGAACGCUGGCGGCAGGCCUAACACAUGCAAGUCGAGCGGUAGCACAGAGAGCUUGCUCUCGGGUGACGAGCGGCGGACGGGUGAGUAAUGUCUGGGAAACUGCCUGAUGGAGGGGGAUAACUACUGGAAACGGUAGCUAAUACCGCAUAAUGUCGCAAGACCAAAGUGGGGGACCUUCGGGCCUCAUGCCAUCAGAUGUGCCCAGAUGGGAUUAGCUAGUAGGUGGGGUAACGGCUCACCUAGGCGACGAUCCCUAGCUGGUCUGAGAGGAUGACCAGCCACACUGGAACUGAGACACGGUCCAGACUCCUACGGGAGGCAGCAGUGGGGAAUAUUGCACAAUGGGCGCAAGCCUGAUGCAGCCAUGCCGCGUGUGUGAAGAAGGCCUUCGGGUUGUAAAGCACUUUCAGCGGGGAGGAAGGCGUUAAGGUUAAUAACCUUGGCGAUUGACGUUACCCGCAGAAGAAGCACCGGCUAACUCCGUGCCAGCAGCCGCGGUAAUACGGAGGGUGCAAGCGUUAAUCGGAAUUACUGGGCGUAAAGCGCACGCAGGCGGUCUGUCAAGUCGGAUGUGAAAUCCCCGGGCUCAACCUGGGAACUGCAUUCGAAACUGGCAGGCUAGAGUCUUGUAGAGGGGGGUAGAAUUCCAGGUGUAGCGGUGAAAUGCGUAGAGAUCUGGAGGAAUACCGGUGGCGAAGGCGGCCCCCUGGACAAAGACUGACGCUCAGGUGCGAAAGCGUGGGGAGCAAACAGGAUUAGAUACCCUGGUAGUCCACGCCGUAAACGAUGUCGAUUUGGAGGUUGUGCCCUUGAGGCGUGGCUUCCGGAGCUAACGCGUUAAAUCGACCGCCUGGGGAGUACGGCCGCAAGGUUAAAACUCAAAUGAAUUGACGGGGGCCCGCACAAGCGGUGGAGCAUGUGGUUUAAUUCGAUGCAACGCGAAGAACCUUACCUGGUCUUGACAUCCACAGAACUUUCCAGAGAUGGAUUGGUGCCUUCGGGAACUGUGAGACAGGUGCUGCAUGGCUGUCGUCAGCUCGUGUUGUGAAAUGUUGGGUUAAGUCCCGCAACGAGCGCAACCCUUAUCCUUUGUUGCCAGCGGUUCGGCCGGGAACUCAAAGGAGACUGCCAGUGAUAAACUGGAGGAAGGUGGGGAUGACGUCAAGUCAUCAUGGCCCUUACGACCAGGGCUACACACGUGCUACAAUGGCAUAUACAAAGAGAAGCGACCUCGCGAGAGCAAGCGGACCUCAUAAAGUAUGUCGUAGUCCGGAUUGGAGUCUGCAACUCGACUCCAUGAAGUCGGAAUCGCUAGUAAUCGUAGAUCAGAAUGCUACGGUGAAUACGUUCCCGGGCCUUGUACACACCGCCCGUCACACCAUGGGAGUGGGUUGCAAAAGAAGUAGGUAGCUUAACCUUCGGGAGGGCGCUUACCACUUUGUGAUUCAUGACUGGGGUGAAGUCGUAACAAGGUAACCGUAGGGGAACCUGCGGUUG
rnacentral:rRNA from 5 species